rnacentral:lncRNA from 1 species
CUUUUUUUUUUUUUUUUUAAAUCAGGAAUCAUGUCUGAAAGCUGCCACAACCAGUUGUAUAGGCAUGUCAAAAUGACUUUAUACAGUCAAUAUGAAACAAGCAUUAAAUAUUUUUUCUCAUGUUGUUGCUUUUAUCAUUAUGAAUUCCUUGCUUGUUGCCACCUAAGAUACGAUGGAGCAAGCACAGUCUUAAAGAAGAUUUGCUGAUUUUUUGUUUUUCUCAGCAGACCAGAGUAGGUAUGAUCAUCUUAUUGAGAAGUAUACAGUGCAAAAAAGGUUUUUCAAAACACUACAGGAUAAAUAACAAAUGAAUUCUUAAAACUGUUAAUCUCUGACAUCCAUAAAAAUUCAUCAGAGAGCAUUUUACUACUGAGCUGCAAAGGUAGGAAAAAUAAAUUUUUUUUGGUUAGAAAAUAUACUUCUUUCAUCUGCGUUUCAAUAAUUUAUUCCCCUUGUUAGAUAUACAUGGAAUUGAUAUUGCUUAUUCUGACUAAGUGAAAAGUGUUAUUUCUACUUACUGCUCAAUUAGAAACAUGUAGUGUUUAAUUGUCAGUUUGAAUUUUUCUUUCAUACUAUUACAGUUUAUAUUUUACUAUAGGCAGAAUUUCCUCUUUAUCCUAAAUUUUGAUAUUCUCCAUAAUUUCAUCGUGCCUUGACAUUGCUGUAUAUAAUUUCUAUACAUCAGGAAGGCAAUUCUGUGUGCAUGUGUGUGUGUAUAUAUAUAGUUAGAAGUUAGAAACUGAAACUCUUUUUUGUCUACCAUCAUUUCAUAUUUUUCUUGCUAUUUCAAACCUAUAAUUUUUAAAGAAACGACUAACGUAAUCAUUCAUAGAAUAUGCUGUCAGUAACUUAACAAUAUAAAUGUUAACAUGGAGGCAUUUAGUUCAGCAUUUGCUUUACUUAAUAGAGUGCAGAAAAUGUGGCCCUUUUCUCAGUUAGGGUGUAUGUGAAGAUAAAUUUAGAAUUUCUAGACUAGUAAAUACUUCUCUGAUAAUAACUUAAUUAUAGCUAUUUCAAACCAAAUUGUUUAAUUGUGGUGAAUCAUAUGUAAAUUGUUCAGAUGUAGGUCAACACCCACGCCCACAUUCUAGCACCUCUUUCCUAAUUCAAGACAACUUUGCAGUGCCUAAAAGAGCUGAACAGUGCAGAUUAGAGACAUAAGACAAAAAAAAAAAAAAAA